ensembl:snoRNA small nucleolar RNA SNORA42/SNORA80 family
GUGGAUUUGGAUUUAUGGCAGGCCCAUCACUGUGGGCCUCACAUAGUGCCCAUGCCAGAGCAAACUGUAGCCCCAAACCAUUGCCUGGCCUCCUUGCCCAUAGGCUGUGGGCACUGAAGCAGGUUGCACAGUG